CUAUGCCGUAUCACCCUGAAUGCAUCUGAUCUCGUCUAAUCUCGGAAGCUAAGCCUCGUCAGGUCUGGUUAGUACUCGGAUGGGAGAAAAACAAGAAUUAUAUAGA
rnacentral:rRNA from 1 species